UGAGCUUGAAAUCUGGAUAUUUUGGGUGUCAGUCACAUGGAUUCCAUCAGUGUUGGGGCUGUCCCCUGGUGCAGUUACAGUGAGACCCGAAGCUUGAACACCCACGCAUUUUUCAAAAGAAACAUGCAUUUGCUGGGCAUUUUGGAUCUUGAGGUUCUUCACUACCAAGUUCUUGCAGUUGUAGAAGGUUAAGGCCUGCCAAAACAUAAUUCCAAACAAGAAAUUAUAUGUCUUCCAUUUUCAUAUAAACAUCAUAGAAAAAGUUUGCACUCAUAUGAGAGGAUGUAUAUCGACGUACCGUUGGUGCAUCCUUGCAAGACUGCGGGAAUUUAAAGGGAAAAAAAAAAAAAAAUCAGCCAAUGGUCAUUAAAAGAUAAUCAAAAGAAAAGAGAGAGAGAGAGAGAGAGUUAUGAGUGGCAUAAUUACAAGAUCAUCGUUCACUUUGCAAGAGUUCUCCCACCAUGUCUUCCCAUUUCCAUUGAUGGUUCCACCACCUUGAACCGCUAAGUUUUGGACAUUUUCAAAGACAAGCCACCGGGUCAUAUCGUUACUGUAGGCGGAUCGAUCAGCAGAUGCCUGGACAGUUCCAUAUAUCUGGUUUUUUUUUUUUUUUUCAAAAAAUAUCAUUAGUCAUUUUAUGCUAUAUACAUCAAUGAGAAACAGCUCCUUGAAGGUCUGAAGAAAAUGACUCCUGUGAUGGAAUCUCACCUGCACUGUAAUACUGGAUUUGCAAGGACCUUGAAAUGUAAUUGGCUUAAGGAGAUAGUUCUUGGUUUGGGGCACCACUAGGACAGAUCCUUGAGAUGAACAAGCUGCCUCCCAAGCUUUCUUGAAUGCCUGAAAGACCCAACAUUGGUUAUAUAUAUAUAUAUAUAUUACUUCGCAUGACAGAACCAAUGAAGGUAAGAUUGAAUCUAACAAGCCCUAAUAAUUUCAAUAUGUUUGAUUCAUAGCAUAGUUUGUCUUCAUUGGAUGUGAAGUACUUCAAUAGUAAUUAGCCAUCAUUUUCAUUUAGAUCAAUGAUAUAAAUAGUAAUUACCUAAUCCGCUUCUAGUAUACAAUGACAUGCUAUAAUUUUAAUCCUUUUGAUAAUGUAUGGAUUCUAAACUUAUUGUGAUCAAUAUAUCAAAAUGCAAGCUCAGAUCAAACUAUAUAGAACAAUGAUGCAAAGGUCAUGCAAAUGAGGAUAUUCUUAUAAGGUUAAUAAGUCAAUACACAUAUUGACGUCUCCAGCUAUAUGCAUACCUCUGUGGCAUCACUUCCAUCACCUUUAGCUCCAUAAUCAUUCACGCUAACCGUUUUAACUGAAGCCAAAGAUCUACCCACUUUACCAAUCCUCUUAGAGCCCAUGAUUUUACUUCCAAAUUUGCGCCAUGGCCACUUCUCAUACGCCCGGGAAGAAUCAUAGCCAUAUGCGUCGUCAAGAUAAUCGUAAGGUGGGUUCCCUUGCAAACCGUAGUAGCAUGGGAAAGAAAGCAGAAAGACGAUGAGAAAUGGGAUGAAGCGUCUUUUUAGAGACAUUGUUUCUUCUUUGAUGAAGGGGAGAGAAAAUAUUCUGAAGAUAUUGAAGCUAAGAUUGGAAUGGUGAUGAGAGGAAUGAGGCGAUGAAAAUAUGAAGUACCGAGGUUAUGUAUUUAUAGAGAAUCAUCAGGGGUUUUGGGUCCACUGUCCAUCACACGAUGCCCCUUGAGGUAUGGAUUUGCAAUCAUUUGGGAUACGCAAAGAGUACUGCUACCAGAAGGAACUCCUGGACACCAUGGCUGACUUUGGUGCAUACAUGCAUCAGUCCAUACUAUUCAUUGAUAUCUUAUCUAUAUACCAUGCCGUGCAUAUUUGCAGUUAUACAUUUUGAAUAAAUUCAACUACAUAAAUUUUGAAACUUAUGAGGAGAAAAACUCAUUAACACUUAGAUCGACGAGCCUCAUCAUGCAAAGAAGGCAAAUAUUGAGGGCCACUUUUUUAUAUACAUGUACAUGUAACAUGCAUAUAUGCAUCAUCUAGCCUAUUUUGUCCAUUAAUUAUCAUCAGAUUAUUCCAAAUGAUUAUCCUAGAUUAUGGCAGCUGGCUAAUAGGUCACAUAAAAAUGGGCAUUUACCCAUUACUAUAUAUAUUGAACGAUGCACACAUGAAACAUAUGUAAAUGCAUCAAAUGAUCCAUACGUAUGCUCAUGAUGUCACAGAGAUGAACUAUGGCAAGCUAGUGACCUCCCCUUCCCUUCACAUGCUGCCAAAUUCCACACUUGUCACAACCCGAUUUGCACGGAAAUAAUCUGCCACACACUUUCAGAAGCGUGUGGGGGUUUCUAUGGAAUUCAUGCAUAAAAAAUAUUGAGUUGCCGUAAUCUAUUUUGAGGGAUAAAAAGGGUAGGCAUGGGGUUUGAGUAGAGGUGUAAAUUUGUUAAGUUUCUAAGUGGUCGUCUCCCUUAAUGAAUAUAAGACUUUAGAGCACUUCAGUUCACAUGCUGAUGGAAUUUGAACCUUUUCACAAGAUGGCAUUGUCUCAUGAUUCUCAAAAUUAACAAGCAAUCAAACUGAGAAAAACUUGAGCUUUAGGCUUGUCAUAGGGUGUCGCCACGUGUACUAACCCAUGACAAAUGAUAAAUCAACACGUGCUUCCCACAAUUUGCAAGUUCCUUGACACAUAAUAGUAGAGAGGCGUGGUUUGAAAAAUGGGGUUUGGAUUACACAAGGUGGUAUGGGCUGAAGAAUAUGAGUUCAUUAGAUAACAGCUUAUCAUGUAUUUUGACAUGAUAAGCUUUUUUUAAUCAUUAUGGGCUCAUGUAUCAUUUUUUAAUGGGUAAUGCGUUAGCUAAGAUUAUGAAAUGGGAAGUUGACCUCAUAGAAGGGUUAGCGCAGUUGUAAAGAAGUUUGAGCCAACUGUUUGGAAAGUUGCUUUCAAUGGAAGGUAUACAGGAACUUAUACCAAAUUCCAUCAAAUGGCUGAUUCAGAAUGGAAGAGUUGAAACUUUAGUCAAUGGGUGUAAUAUUAUUAAUCAGAUCAUUUUCUUCAAACGAAGCAAAAAAUUCGGCCAAGCACAUGAGCCUAACAGUUGCCAAUUUCAACACUGCAAGUUAAUUUGUGACCACUGCAUUUCAGCUUUUUCCUUCUUUUGGCUUUCUUCUUUAUUUUGUUCACUUUGGUGUAAAAAGCAUUUUUUUUUUAUUCAUUUUGGUGUGAAGCUGGGAAAAAAUAGAGUAAGAUGAUGGAGUUUUUGCCAUGUGCUUGAAACAAUCAUAAUAUAAUAUUAUUGUCUAACGAUUCUUGAAAAGUAUAAGGAAAUAAUAAAAUUAUUAAGAAAAAUGAUUUUUACAAAAAUUAUAAAAAAAAAUUUAAAUAUAAUUAAAAUUCAUUAAAAAUUUAUAUAUCUUUAAAUUACUUAAUUUUUAUAUAAAGGAAUUAAAAGAAGUAAAAUAAUUUAAAAUAAUAAAUAAAAAUAAUUUAUUGACUAUAAAUACAUUUUUUAUUUUUCUCCCUUUUUUGUUUUCUUUUAUUUUUUGUCUUUAUUUUUUUUUCACUUACAUUUUUUCUCAAACCACACAUAACCUCAAACCCUAUUCACUUGUGUCAUCAUGUUGUUGUUUUUGCUUUAGCCAAUUUUUUUAUUUUUUUUUAGGGUUUCUUGAAAAUGGAGAAAUUUUCCUAAAAAUUAUGUUGCAAACGUAGGGGAAUUAAUGCAAGUCUAAAUAGCCCAACAAAGCCCACGUUUACCUGUCUAUCUUGUGGAUAAAUUUUACUCAUCUGCUUUAAGGUUUCAAUUAAAUACACUUAACCAUUAUAAGUUUGAAAUUUCGUCAAAUACUUCUCUUAUUAUAAAUCAAAUGAAAGAUAUGUGAAAAUAACUAAUAAAAUGAGUAAAAUUGGUAUUUGACAAAAUUUCAAACUUAUAGUGUCUAGGUAUAUAUGACUUAAAUAUCAAGGAAUGUAAGUAAAAUUAAUUCUUUAUCUUGGAUUGGAUUAACCCAAAAGUAACCUAAUUUUGAUGGUUUGGGGCUGAACUUCAAAUAUGAGCUCAUUCCAUAUUGCAAGUAAUUUUUUUAAUAUUUUUUUAUUUUUAGGAAAAAUUAUAUAUCAUGUUAUUGAAUAAAGGGUGAAAGACUCCAAAGAAAAAAAUAACUUUCUAAAAAAUAAAUAUUAAAUAAAAAAAUAGUAAAUGCUAAGAUGUAAAUUAACAACAAAUAAAUGACCGUUUUAUUGAUGAUUAACAAUAAGAGAACAUCAUAUCAAUUAUAAUGAUCAAUAGUAUUGUGUGUUGGGUUACAUUCAAAUAACAAUUAGUUUUAUCCUAUGAUAAGCAAUUGUUAUAUAUAUAUAUAUAUAUAUAUAUAUAUAUAUAUAUAUAUAUAUUGUUAUAAAAAUUAGGCUAAUCCAAUUUAAGGUAAUCACCCUAUAGGAAAGGUGAAUAAGGUGAUGGUCUUUUUUUACAAAUUUAAAUUAUAUGAAUGCAAGAAACAAUUAUAUGCAAAUAUAUAUAAUAAAACAAUAUGAAAACAAUUGCAUAUAAAAUAAAAGAGUAGAGAAGAGAGAAUGCAAAUACAAGAUUUAUAUAGUGAUUCAGCGCAACCCGGCCUACGUCCAUUAUCCUCUAACUUCAAUCCCAAGUUUGAGGUUUUACUAAUUCAAGACUUCCAAUCCAAGCCUUCAAGUAAUACAAUUGAAUUAUAGUUCCAAUCAACUCUCUUAGACUUUUAGCUCCAAACACCCUUUACAAUCUCCAAUAGAUACCUCACUCUUGAACAACCCCUCAAGUAAUACUCCACACUUAAGACUUCCUAAGUGAUACCUCACACUUAGACUUUUCUUCUCAAAGAUUUAUAAAUAAAGAUAGAAAAUAUUCUCACAAAAUCCUAAUACAAAACUUUAGGCUUAAAUGAUACAACAAAAUUAUGAGUGAAUUAUGCACUAAAGAUAUGCAAGUUUUAGAACAAUGGUACACUAAAAAAAACUCUCCCAAUGCUCAAAUAUAUUCAAAAAAUGUUUAGGAAGGUUAAGGCCAUGAAACAAUAAAGAUUAGAGCAUUUUUAUAAAGAAAAAAAUGUCAAACUAGCUAUUGGAGGUUCGACCAGUCUAAUUGGAGGUUGAUCGGUUGACUAACCGUUAGCAUUUAAUACUUGAUAGGUAACCAUUGAACCUCGACUGCCCCUUAACCGGACCUCAACCGAUUAAGGUUCAACCUUGACUGAUUGAACAAUUGUUCUGGAAUAGAAAGAAGGUUUUUGCAUCAUUUGACCUAUUGAGCUAAACAGGUCAACCGGUUCCUCAUCCGGUUCAAACGGUUGAGUCAUUUUUAGCUCAACAAUUAUCAUUUUCAAUUUAAAACUUUUUAAACAAGUUUGAAAAACAUUUGACACAAGGUUUUAGUUGAAAACAUGAAACCAUCCAAUUUUAAAUGAUUUAAAACAAAAUUAUUUUUGGAUGAUUUUGGUGUAUAAAUUAAUAAUGUAAUGCAUGAAAAACCUAGUGCACCAACAACCUUACAAAGAGAUCCUAUAAAGCUUAGGUUUUGAAAAGAAUUUCUCUUUGAGGUCGUAUUCUUCUUAUUGAUUUCUCUUUGACUUGAUUUUGUCUUUGUGAUUGUCACUUUGAAAAUCUACUUGUCUAAUCACACUUGAAACAUAAUCAUUAGUUUCAAACCUUGUUUUGUUAUCAUUAAAAUCGAGAUUAAUCAAACUUUGGUUUCACACAUACACAUACACACACAUAUAUAUAUAUAUACACACACACACAAAUAAGUGUGUGAUAAGAAACCAACAACCCUAGCUCUCAUUCAAUACUCAAGUGCAAUAGGGAGACACAUCUCAUUUUUCAAUCACUUUACCAACUUUGUCUCCUCCAACUUCUAUAUCAAUAUCUUGCAUCACAAUCCUUGUCACACCCUAACUAAAAGCGUGACAGUCAUUUCACAUCUCAAGUCCAGAAACUCAAAGUAAAAAUGACAAUAAUAUCCAUUUUAUAACUAGAAGUUACCAAUUACUAAAUUUUUGUUCAAAAUAAUAGAAUAAAUUUUAUAAUCUUUAAAUCUCAAUUUUAAAACUAACACAUCAAUCAAAGUGCUAUUGUUCAAACUUAACAAUUUAAACAGUCAUUAAAUUCCAACUUUUGAAUAAUAUCCAAAAAAUAAAGUUUAAAUCAAAAGUCUUAAUAAUGGUCAAAAUCUCAUCCUAACCGUCAUUUCUCAUUUGAACUGAGAAUACCUAAAAAAUUGUCAACAAAAGUGAAUGAGCCCAAAACCCAAUAAGGAAUAUUAUUACAAUUUCAUGGAUCAAACAUUUUCAACUAUGAUUUCAAAUAAGAGAUAUAAUAUACAAUUUUUUUCAUAAAAACUUUUGAGUCCAAACAUGCUAAUACAUUCCAAACUUUUGAACCAAACAUUUUUAUAUCUAUGUUAAAACAAUUUCAUAUCAUUUACAUUCAAAAUAUUUUUACUUUGAUUAUCAAAUAACAAAUAUUGCCCAAUAAGGUAGGACUUUACAAAUUGGUAGCUAGCAUCAAAUUAGUUCAUUUUAAUGUGGACGAAACCAAAUACUACUAGUACUAAUAACGUCUAACCAAACCCCUAAAGGUUAGGGUUCAAAUAAAUUAUAUUACUCAUCACAAAAUGUAAAGGUCAACUAUCAUAUUCUGUUGACAAAUGUCAAAAAGUCAACUAUUAUAUCUCGUUAACUAUGGUCGAAAAGUCAACUAUGAUAUCUCAUUAACUAGGGUCAAAUAAAUUAAAGUCAAAUACUUUGUUUGAUUUAUUCAAACUUAAAAAAAACAAAAUAUCUUCAUAUUUUUCCAUUAUAAACAAAAUUAAACAGUUCUAACAUAUUAUUCAUAUAAAAUAUAUUUAAUUCAUGUAUAGAAACAAAAAUAACAUUUUACACAUUUUAAAAUAAUAUAUAAAAAGAAAAUUAUUUUCUUUUACAAAAUUUACAUUAAUUUCCUUUAUUUUGAACAAGCACUCAAAAUAUUAAAGAAAAUUAUUCCAGAACAAUCAAUUUCUCAACUAACAUAACAUAAGAAAAUUACUAUUAUUAUUAACUAUUUAUCUAAAAUUAUAUGUUUGACAACUCUAAAAGUUUCCUAUGUUGAUAUUAUUAUCACAUAUAUUAUUUUUAACUUCCUAAUCAAUGACAAUUUAAUAAGUGAGUUUUCAAAUUUUCAUAAAAAUUGUGUCAUUUUUAAAAAUCUAAUCUCAAAAAUCCAUUUCUCUUUCCUUAUUUAUUUAAAUUAAAUGUCUAAAGCAUAUGUAUUUAUAAUAAACCUUUUUAUCAUUUUAAUCAAGAAUAGGUUUUUUUUGUUCAUUACUUGUCUUUCAUAUUCUAUUGCCUUGUGUCUAUUAUUAUUAUUUUCGACAAACAAUACACAAAUCAUGCAAUCAACCUCAAUUUUUUUUUUCUCCUUCUCUAUACACCCGCACCAUCCUAUUACCACAAAUAGGUUUCCCAAACACCACCUCUAUUUCUUCUCUUUUAUUAUUAUUAAUAUUAUUUUCUUCUCUUCACAAAGUCAACAUCCAAACCAUUCCGUGGCUUUUUUUUUUUUUUUUUGUCUUGUUUUUUUUUCCUCUCCCGUUUAGCCGUGACACUCUCCAACCAUUCUUUUUUUUCUUCUAUUAUUUUUAUUAUUAUAAUUUUUUUUUUUUUUUAUCCUUUUACUCAUCAGAAAGCCGUGCCCUCACUCACAUCCUUCUUCCCUUUCCAUUUUUAUUUUGAUUUGUUUUUAUUUUUUUACACAUCCUACAAUUCGUGGCGUAGCACGUUUUCUUUUUUUUUUAAAAAAAAAUUUUCCUAAGUCAAAAUUUUUUUCAUGAUCAUACACUUUUCCUAUAAUUAUUCCUUCUUAUUUACUUAUUUAUUUUGAUUUUUACUUGUUUAUAUCUAACCAUUUCAAAAUUUGGAUUUUCUCUAUUUUCAUAAAUAAAUCAACUUAUAUUUAUAAAUUUUCAAACUUUUUUUAUCUAAAAUUAAACAAGCAAACUCUUAUUUAGAUUUUUCAAAGAAUAUCAAAGAUGUUUAAAUUUAAUUAACGAAUUUAAAAUACUAAUCUAAGCUUUAGAAUCUUAUCUGGAAAACUAAUCUUCAAAUCUUUAAUCCUACAUUAUCCUAAGUUUUCUAAAUUUUGUAAUCAUCGUGUAAAAAUGUUUUUGAAUAAAAAACAUUAGAAAAUUUUAUUUUAUACGUAGAGUUUUUAAAUGCAAAAAGAUAUUUUUAUCCUUAUUACAUUUAUUAAAUUUAUUUGUUAUUUUUCUUUUAUUCUAAUUUAUGAUUUUACCCUUAACAAUAUAUUUGGGGCAUUACAAUCCCUUGACAUGGAAACUUAUCGCUGCAAUAAAGCUUUAUGGCCUCAUUUGAAGAAUUUGUUCUUUUAAUGUUCGAGUACAACACAUGUUGCACUUGAACCGCCCAGCUCUACAUCAUUUGUAUUAGGGAAAUCAUGAACAACAAAUUGAAGGUUAAUGAUAUUGGUUUUGUUUGUCAAGAUAUGGGUUGAACUUUUGAGUUUCCAUACCUAUGAUUUGUGUUCAAUUGGUUUCCAUAGUUUUGUGAUGAAAACAAUAUUUAUAUGGGCAUUCGCGUUUUAUUUUAUUUUUGGGUUAUUUUAAUUUUCAAUCCCAAUCCAUUUUUAUGUGAUAAUGGCGUGGUUUGCAGAUAUGACAUNNNNNNNNNNNNNNNNNNNNNNNNNNNNNNNNNNNNNNNNNNNNNNNNNNNNNNNNNNNNNNNNNNNNNNNNNNNNNNNNNNNNNNNNNNNNNNNNNNNNAUAAGUGUGUGAUCAGAACCAAUAACCCUAGCUUCCACGCAAUUCUCAAGUGCAACUUGGAGACACAUCUCCUUUUUCAGUCACUUUGGCAUCGUUGCACACAGCUGUGGCUGCUUUUCCUCCUCCAGUUUCUAUAUCAAUGUCUUGCAGCACAAUCCCCUGACAUGGAAACUUGCUGCUACAAUCAAGUUGUAUAGCCUCACUUGAAGAACUUGUUCCUUUGAUGUUCUGGUACAACACAUUUUGCACUUGAACCGCCUGGCUCUGCAACAAAACCAUUUGUAUUAGGGAAAUCAUGAACAAUUAAUUGAGGGUUGAUGAUAUUGGUUUUGUUUGUGAAGAUCCAGGGUUGAGGUUUGAGUUUCCAUACCUCUGAUUCGCAUGGUUUGUCGUCGUCACAGUACUUUUGGUUUAUUAUUAUAGGGUUGUCCACAUCAUGCAUUUCAAUGUUCUGGAAUUUGAUGUUGCUUGCGCUUCCAGACCCUCCCUGCAACAAAAUUCUUGUGUUAAUAUUUGACUGAUCGAAAGCUUAAGUUAUUAAGUAAUAAAUGUAAUAAGUCAAUAACGCAUAUUAAAUUAACUUAUACUAAAGCUUCUUCAUAAUAUCCGACUCAUACAAACAUAUGUAUGCAUGUUUCUUCUUACCUGCCAUGUCUUGAUUCUAACUCCAUUUGUGGUUCCCGAAAGGGUUGCCCCGUUCACUGUAAUAUCUGAAACGUGAGCCUCUGAGUUUCCAGAUCCUAAGCUUCCAAUACUGAGGAGUUGGCCAUGGAACAAAGACAAAAUUCAAAAGAAAUACGUAUAUGUUAGUGUUGAUUAAUGAGUCAUAUAUAGAAAUUAAGAUUAAUUUAGCAAUAUUAAUGUUGGGGUUACUGGGUUAAUUACCUGAUUCCAUGGCCUGGUCCACAGGUGAUACCAGUGGCUUGCAAGUUCUGGGUUCCACUCACAAUUGAAAUACAGUCGUCACCUUCAACAAUCAAACAAAAUUUGUCAUUGAUUCAGCAUGGUUACAACUAUUUUUAAAAAAAAUAUUUUUAGUUUUGUUUUUAGGCAAAUUUUGAGGAUACCUGUUCCUAUAACUGAGCUUGAAAUCUGGAUAUUUUGGGUGUCAGUCACAUGGAUUCCAUCAGUGUUGGGGCUGUCCCCUGGUGCAGUUACAGUGAGACCCGAAGCUUGAACACCCACGCAUUUUUCAAAAGAAACAUGCAUUUGCUGGGCAUUUUGGAUCUUGAGGUUCUUCACUACCAAGUUCUUGCAGUUAUAGAAGGUUAAGGCCUGCCAAAACAUAAUUCCAAACAAGAAAUUAUAUGUCUUCCAUUUUCAUAUAAACAUCAUAGAAGAAGUUUGCACUCAUAUGAGAGGAUGUAUCAACGUACCGUUGGUGCAUCCUUGCAAGGCUGCGGGAAUUUAAAGGGAAAAAAAAAAUUCAGCCAAUGAUCAUUAAAAGAUAAUCAAAAGAAAAAAAAAAGGGAAAAAGAGACAGAGACAGAGAGUCAUGAGUGGCAUAAUUACAAGAUCAUCGUUCACUUUGCAAGAGUUCUCCCACCAUGUCUUCCCAUUUCCAUUGAUGGUUCCACCACCUUGAACCGCUAAGUUUUGGACAUUUUCAAAGACAAGCCACCGGGUCAUAUCGUUACUGUAGGCGGAUCGAUCAGCAGAUGCCUGGACAGUUCCAUAUAUCUGGUUUUUUUUUUCCCCCAAAAAUAUCAUUAGUCAUUUUAUACGAUAUACAUUAAUUAGAAGCAGCUGCUUGAAGGUCUGAAGAAAAUGACUCCUGUGAUGGAAUCUCACCUGCACUGUAAUACUGGAUUUGCAAGGACCUUCAAAUGUAAUUGGCUUAAGGAGAUAGUUCUUGUUUUUGGGCACCACUAGGACAGAUCCUUGAGAUGAACAAGCUGCCUCCCAAGCUUUCUUGAAUGCCUGAAAGACCCAACAUUGGUUAUAUAUAUAUUACUUCGCAUGACAGAACCAAUGAAAAUAAGACUGAAUCCAACAAGCCCUAAUAAUUUUAAUAUGUUUGACUCAUAGCAUAGUUUGUCUUCAUUGGAUGUGAAGUUCUUCAAUAGUAAUUAGCCAUCAUUUUCAUUUAGAUCAAUGAUAUAAAUAGUAAUUACCCAAUCCGCUUCUAGUAUACAAUGACAUACUAUAACUUAUUGUGAUCAAUAUAUCAAAAUGCAAGCUCAGAUCAAACUAUAUAGAACAAUAAUGCAGAGAUCAUGGAAAUGAGGACAUUCUUAUAAGGUUAAUAAGUCAAUACACAUAUUGACGUCUCUAGCUAUAUCCAUACCUCUGUGGCAUCACUUCCAUCACCUUUAGCUUCAUAAUCAUUCACGCUAACCGUUUUAACUGAAGCCAAAGAUCUACCCACUUUACAAAUCCUCUUAGAGCCCAUGAUUUUACUUCCAAAUUUGCGCCAUGGCCAGCUCUCAUACGCCCGGGAAGAAUCAUAGCCAUAUGCGUCGUCAAGAUAAUCGUAAGGUGGGUUCCCUUGCAAACCGUAGUAGCAUGGGAAAGAAAGCAGAAAGACGAUGAGAAACGGGAUGAAGCGUCUUUGUAGAGACAUUGUUUCUUCUUUGGUAAAGGGGAGAGAAAAUAUUCUGAAAGAUAUUAUUUUGAGGCUAAGAUUGGAAUGAUGAUGAGAGGAAUGGAGGUGAUGAAAAUAUGAAGUGCUGAGGUAAUGUAUUUAUAGAGAAUCAUCAGGGGUUUUGGGUCUACCGUCCAUCACACAAUGCCCCUUGAGGUAUGGAUUGGGAAUCAUUUGGGAUACGCAAGAGUACUGCUACCAGAAUGAACUCCUGGACACCAUGGCUGACUUUGAUGCAUUCAUGCAUCAGUCCAUAUUUAUUUUUUAUUAAUAUCUAAUCUGUAUAGCAUGUCGUGCAUAUUUGCGGUUAUACAUUUUGAAUAAAUUCAACUACAUAAAUUUUGCAACUUAUAAUGAGAAAAACUCAUUAACACUUAGAUCAACGAGCCUCAUCACGUAAAGAAGGCAAAUAUUGAGGGCCACUUUUUCAUAUACAUGUACAUGUAACAUGCAUAUAUGCAUCAUCUAGCCUAUUUUGUACGUCCAUUAAUUAUCAUCAGAUUAUUCCAAAUGAUUAUCCUAGAUUAUGGCAGCUGGCUAAAAUAGGUCACAUAAAAAUUGGUAUUUAUCCUUUGACUCUAUAUAUCGAAUGAUGCACACAUGAAAGAUAUGUAAAUGCACCAAACGAUCCAAACAUAUGAUCAUGAUGUCACAGAGAUGAAGUAUGGCAAGCUAGUGACCUCCCCUUUCCUUCACAUGUUGCCAAAUUCCACACUUGACACAACCCGAUUCGCCCGGAAACAAUCUGCCCCGCACUUUCAGAAGCGUGUGGGGGUUUUCAUGGAAUUCAUGCAUAAAAAAUAUUGAGUUGCCGUAAUCUAUUUUGAGGGAUAAAAAGGGUGGGCAUGGGAUUUGAGUAGAGGUGUUUGUUGAGUUCCUACGUGGUAAUCUCUCUUCCUUAAUGAAUAUAAGACGUUAGAGCACUUCACAUGCUGAUGGAAUUUGAACCUUUUCACAAGAUGGCAUUGUCUCAUGAUUCCCAAAAUUAACAAGCAAUCAAACUGAGAAAAACUUGAGCUUUAGGCUUGUAAUAUGGUGUCGCCACGUGUACACCCCGUGACAAAUCAUAGAUCACGUUCUGCCAACCAUUUGCCAGUUCGUUGAUACAUAAUAGUAGAGAGGCGUGGUUUGAAAAAUGGGGGUUGGAUUACACAUGCAAGGUGGUAUGGGCUGAAGAAUAUGAGUUCAUUAGAUAACAGCUUAUCAUGUAUUUUGACAACCCAGUUUGAAAAAGGCCAUCAAUCAUCAUCAAUCAUUAUGGGCUCGUGUAUCUUUUUUUAAUGGGUAAUGCGUUAGCUAGGAUUAUGAAAUGGGAAGUCGACCUCAUAGAAGGGUUAGCGCAGUUGUAAAGAAGUUUGAGCCAACUGUUUUGGAAAGUUGCUUUCAAUGGAAGGUACACAGGAACUUUAUACCAAAUUCCAUCAAAUGGCUGAUUCAGAAUGGAAGAGUGGAAACUUGAAUCAAAGGGUGUAAUAUUAAUUAGAUCAUUUUCUUCAAACCAAGCAAAAAGUUCGGCCAAGCACAUGAGCCUAACCGUUGCCAAUUUCAACACUGCAAGUUAAUUUGUGACUACUCCAUUUCAGCUCUUUCCUUCUUUUUGCUUUUUUCUCAUUUUGUUCACUUUGGUGUAAAACGCAUUUUUUAUUUUAUUUUAUUCAUUUGGGUGUGAAGCUGAGAAAAAAUAGAGUAAGAUGAUGGAGUUGCCUGCUUGAAACGAUUAUAAUAUAAUAUUAUUGUUUAAGAUUACGUAUGAUUCUCGAAAAGUAUUAAGAGAAGAAUAAAAUUAUUAAAAAAAAAUACGUUAGCUAAGAUUAUUAAAUGGGAAGUCGACCUCAUAGAAAGGUUAGCGCAGUUGUAAAGAAGUUUGAGCCAACUGUUUGGAAAGGGCCUCAUUUGAAGAAUUUGUUCUUUUAAUGUUCGAGUACAACACAUGUUGCACUUGAACCGCCCAGCUCUACAUCAUUUGUAUUAGGGAAAUCAUGAACAACAAAUUGAAGGUUAAUGAUAUUGGUUUUGUUUGUCAAGAUAUGGGUUGAACUUUUGAGUUUCCAUACCUAUGAUUUGUGUUCAAUUGGUUUCCAUAGUUUUGUGAUGAAAACAAUAUUUAUAUGGGCAUUCGCGUUUUAUUUUAUUUUUGGGUUAUUUUAAUUUUCAAUCCCAAUCCAUUUUUAUGUGAUAAUGGCGUGGUUUGCUGAUAUGACAUUAGACGACUCAGCGUGAAGUUGGGCCUUGAAGCCCGAUUAUCUAGUGGGUGGGCCUUGAAGCCCAAAAGUAACCUAGUUCUAAUGGCCUUUGGGGCUGAACUUCGGAUAUGGGCCAAUUUCAUGUUGCAUGCAUUUUUUAAAAAUAAAUAUAUUUUUAUUAUUUUGAGGAAAUACUAGAUAGCAUGGUAUUGAAUCAAGGGAGAAAAACUCUAAAUUUUCAGAAAAAUGAAAAGAAUUAGUAAAUACUAAGAUGAAAUUAACAACAAAUAAAAGGUCAUUUUAUUGAUGAUAAACAAUAAGAGAACAUCAACUCCAUUGUCUUAUUCUAUAGUAAGCAAAUUAAUAUCACAUACUCACUAUUACUUUUAAAUAAUUAGUAUAUAUCUAUAAACACUGAUAAGUGUGUGAUCAGAACCAAUAACCCUAGCUUCCACGCAAUUCUCAAGUGCAACUUGGAGACACAUCUCCUUUUUCAGUCACUUUGGCAUCGUUGCACACAGCUGUGGCUGCUUUUCCUCCUCCAGUUUCUAUAUCAAUGUCUUGCAGCACAAUCCCCUGACAUGGAAACUUGCUGCUACAAUCAAGUUGUAUAGCCUCACUUGAAGAACUUGUUCCUUUGAUGUUCUGGUACAACACAUUUUGCACUUGAACCGCCUGGCUCUGCAACAAAACCAUUUGUAUUAGGGAAAUCAUGAACAAUUAAUUGAGGGUUGAUGAUAUUGGUUUUGUUUGUGAAGAUCCAGGGUUGAGGUUUGAGUUUCCAUACCUCUGAUUCGCAUGGUUUGUCGUCGUCACAGUACUUUUGGUUUAUUAUUAUAGGGUUGUCCACAUCAUGCAUUUCAAUGUUCUGGAAUUUGAUGUUGCUUGCGCUCCCAGACCCUCCCUGCAACAAAAUACUUGAGUUAAUAACCGACACAUCGAAAACUUAAAUUAUUAAGUAAUGAAUGUAAUAAGUCAAUAAUGCAUAUUAAAUUAACUUAUACUAAAGCUUUUUCGUAAUAUCCGACUCAUACAAACAUAUGCAUGCAUGUUUCUUCUUACCGGCCAUGUCUUGAUUCUAACUCCAUUUGUGGUUCCCGAAAGAGUUGCCCCGUUCACUGUAAUAUCUGAAACCAGAGCCUCUGAGUUUCCAUAUCCUAAGCUUCCAAUACUGAGGAGUCGGCCAUGGAACAAAGACAAAAUUCGAAAGAAAUGCAUAUAUGUUAGUGUUAAUUAAUGAGUCAUAUAUAGAAAUUAAGAUUAAUUUAGCAAUAUUAAUGUUGGGGUUAAUGGAUUAAUUACCUGAUUCCAUGGCCUGGUCCACAGGUGAUACCAGUGGCUUGCAAGUUCUGGGUUCCACUCACAAUUGAAAUACAGUCGUCACCUUCAACAAUCAAACAAAAUUUGUCAUUGAUUCAGCAUGGUUACAACUAUUUUAAAAAUAAAAAAAUUUAGUUUUGUUUUUAGGCAAAUUUUGAGGAUACCUGUUCCUAUAACUGAGCUUGAAAUCUGGAUAUUUUGGGUGUCAGUCACAUGGAUUCCAUCAGUGUUGGGGCUGUCCCCUGGUGCAGUUACAGUGAGACCCGAAGCUUGAACACCCACGCAUUUUUCAAACGAAACAUGAAUUUGCUGGGCAUUUUCGAUCUUGAGGUUCUUCACUACCAAGUUCUUGCAGUUAUAGAAGGUUAAGGCCUGCCAAAAUUAAAACAUAAUUCCAAACAAGAAAUUAUACAUCUUCCAUUUUCAUAUAACAUCCUAGAAGAAGACGACUGCACUCAUAUGAGGGGAUAUAU
rnacentral:lncRNA from 1 species